CUUGGAUAUGAAUACUUGUAACUGAUAUGCAUGCGAACUGCCAAGGGUGUUCUUUCCUCGCUAUAGAGAACUCCAUGAAGGGCGUCCAGAAAGUAAUGGCCUCAGUAUCUUGACAUUUGAUGCAUUGUUCUACUUGUACUCCCAAAAUAUAAUUUCACCUUGCUCCCCAACGAGACCAGGACUCUUGAGCCGCCUCCUCUCUUGGCAGUAUACCAACUCGUCCAAUUCUGAUUCCCUCUGCUUUAAAGCCUCAUCGAUCCGCAGCACCUUCUUUUCCCCUGUUCUUAUUCCAACUGCAAUCUCAAGCCUUGGGUUGAGUUCAGCUUCUCAUCCUACAGUCCACUCUUGUAUUCAGUUACUACAAGCUUGUCUCCACUAUUGAACAUGAAACAAUCGACAUUAGAAUUUGGAAAGCAAGUAUAACUGCUACCGAAAAGGGGACAGCCGCUGUGUGCCCGGAGAAGUAGAUUGCUCUGAAUCGUCUGGGAACGUUCUUUCUUGAUCGAAAUGUGCAUUAGACUAGCUUUAUUAGAGCUCAGUUUUAUAUAUAUAUAUGUGGAGUUUUUUUUUUAAAAAAAAAAACCAGAAAGAUUGAGAGCUGAAUCGAAAGAGAAGAAGAGAGAAAGAAGAGAAAGGAAGGAGAUGAAGGUUGGAGAAAAUGGGUUUUUAAGAAUAAGGUUUUGGGCACGGAGACGUGAAGACGACCGUGAUCUGAGAAUCCCAAACGCCCAAAGAAAUCAUCCGAUGUUACAGGGGAAGGAAGGAGUCGCUUACGAGGGACUAGGAUUUGUUCUUCUACCUUCAGAAAUUCACGCUGCAAAUAGCUUUUUCACUUAACAGUUGGGUUUUAUUUGUUCUGAUGCUGAAAGAGUAAUUAGUGAUAUAUUGUUAGGUAUUAGUGGAUAUAUUUUAAGAAAUUUGAUAAAUUCUCUUAAUUCCUGACUUUUAAUUUAAGAAAUAAAACAUAUUUCCUAGAUCA